rnacentral:rRNA from 1 species
AUUGAACGCUGGCGGCAGGCCUAACACAUGCAAGUCGAGCGAGCGGCGGACGGGUGAGUAAUGUCUGGGGACUGCCCGAUAGAGGGGGCUAACUACUGGAAACGGUAGCUAAUACCGCAUACUAUCGGAUAACCCAUAUGGGAUUAGCUAGUAGGUGAGGUAAUGGCUCACCUAGGCGACGCUCCCUAGCUGGUCUGAGAGGAUGAUCAGCCAUACUGGGACUGAGACACGGCCCAUACGCCUACGGAGGCAGCAGUGGGGAAUAUUGCACAAUGGGCGCAAGCCUGAUGCAGCCAGGCCGCGUGUAUGAAGAAGGCCCUAGGGUUGUAAAGUACUUUCAGUCGGGAGGCGUUACCGACAGAAGAAGCACCGGCUAACUCCGUGCCAGCAGCCGCGGUAAUAC